rnacentral:rRNA from 1 species
AGUGAACGCUGGCGGUAUGCCUAACACAUGCAAGUCGAACGGCAGCACAGUAAGAGCUUGCUCUUACGGGUGGCGAGUGGCGGACGGGUGAGGAAUACAUCGGAAUCUACUUUUUCGUGGGGGAUAACGUCGGGAAACUUACGCUAAUACCGCAUACGACCUACGGGUGAAAGCAGGGGAUCUUCGGACCUUGCGCGAUUGAAUGAGCCGAUGUCGGAUUAGCUAGUUGGCGGGGUAAAGGCCCACCAAGGCGACGAUCCGUAGCUGGUCUGAGAGGAUGAUCAGCCACACUGGAACUGAGACACGGUCCAGACUCCUACGGGAGGCAGCAGUGGGGAAUAUUGGACAAUGGGCGCAAGCCUGAUCCAGCCAUACCGCGUGGGUGAAGAAGGACUUCGGGUUGUAAAGCCCUUUUGUUGGGAAAGAAAAGCAGCAGGUUAAUACCCCGCUGUUCUGACGGUACCCAAAGAAUAAGCACCGGCUAACUUCGUG